GCGUGUGUCGCCCAUCUUUCAUCUCUCUCCGUCUCUCCCUCCGCUGGCUGCAGCAUCGUGCCCUUCCUACCCCCUCACCGACUCCGCAGCAGCAGCAGCGGCAGCACCGAUGCCCACGAAGGAGUACAUACAGCUUCUACAGAGGUUGUAUGUGUACUUGAAGCGCAACAGCGGCCGAAACGUGCCUCAUGGCAUCUCGCAAAUCACACUCAUCGACGAUGAUGACCUGACGAGGUGGUUCGUGCAGCUGCUCUACAAGGAUGAGAACAACGCCGACUUCUACGUGUCGCUCGAGCUCGUCUUCAACGAAGAUGUCGACAGCGAGGACAGCGCCGCAGGAGGUGCAUGGGGUGUAAGCGCGGGCGUCGGUGGCGCGGGAUCGCGGCAUCGGCGUCCUUCACGACACACGGAGCCGAGCGCGUCGGCAACGAUGCUCGCCGCCGCGGCGAUGACCACAAAGCUGAGCGCAGCUGCUAUCCACGCCGCUGAUGCAGCGCCACAAUCUGCUGCCGCAACAUCGUCACCACAUGUGCAUCGGCACGACACGACGACGACGAGCUCGCCAGCACCACCAGCGCAGCCAUCUUCCUCGCUCACCUCUUCCGGUGCAGGAGACAAGGUGCGAGCGGCCGCAGAGCGCAGUGGGGGCUGCGAGGUGGCCCCAAGUGCAGUGGCCAGCUCUCGAGACGGCAGCAACGGCACGCGUACCAGUGACCGAAGCACGCAGCAGCAGGAGAACGACGACGAUGCCAACAGCGUGCCCACCGCAACCACCCCACAGCCGUACAACGACUUCCAAUGUCGCCUCGUGGGCUUCGGCGAGGCGAGGCGGCCGCCGUUGACGUCCGAGGGGCACAUGGCGCUACCCGAGGAUGCCGAUGGCGCCGGCGUGGCAGUUUCUCGCGUCAGCGACCUGUCGCAACCUCUGGCGAAGCUGCAGACGAGUGCCUUCGCGUCCCCUCCUCCGCCCGCUGCCGCUACGGGCGGCAGUCGUCGUCGUGCACGCAUGCCGCUCGUCUUCGUCGUGUCGCCGCGUCUCAUCGCGUCCUUCAUCCACCACGGCGCCCUCUGCUCCCUCGAGCUCAUGUCCCAGGACUGGGAGCUGACACCUGAGAACAUGGUGCUUCUGCUGAUCGCACUUUUCGAGACACUCAACCCCUUUGCCGGUGACGGCCGCGUGUCCGUCGAUGACGCGGAGCGGAUGGAAAACCUCCGCGAGACUGUCGCGGCGUGGGGUGUCGGUGGCGGUGGCUCAUCAACGUUUGCAGGCGCCUACUCGGAGGAAGAGCAUCAGCUCGGCAUGGAGUACAUCCGUCGCGCGCAUCCGCACCUGUUCCGUCGCUACGUUGGUCCUUUCUCAGAGUCUGCGAGUGCCGCGCGCGAUGGCAUGCCGUCGCUGCCCGCCCCCUCGGAGUUGAGGGGCGGCCUCAGCGCCUCCGCGAACCCCAACAUGGCAGCCGCAGCGGCUACCGGCGGCGGCACGGUGCAACGAGAUCACCUCGACAUGUACUUUGGCAGCGGCAGCGCCGUCGCCGCCACCGGGUCCGACUCAGUCAGGCCCUCAGCCUCGCCGCACGGUGCGCAGACCGCCACCACGACGCCGUCGCUCAUGGAGUUCGCGACCGGACACGGUCGUGGCGGCAGCGGCACACUGGCGCCGCACGUGUUGCGUGACGUGUCGCAUCUUAACACCGCCGUGUACGACGCGCUCGUGGCCACUUACGCUCCCCCAUUGGAGCCGUCGCCGGUGUCCCCGCCGCCUCCGCUCUGCCCCACGCUGGCACAGCAGCAACCACACCCAACAGCAGCGACAGCCAAGCCGGUCGUAAUGCUGCUCGACUCGCCCGCCCUCCUCGCGGACGCGGAAGGCGUGCGACUGUUCCAGUCCGGUGUGCGGGGGGUGCAGCAGACCGUCGUCUCGGCCACCGCCGCGGGGGAUGACAAGUACAGCGCGGAGGACAGCACGACACCCGAUACGCCUGCUGGCAGAGACCGCGUUGGUGCGAGCCCGGAGUACGGUGGCAGCGCGUUCUCGUCGUUGCCUGCUCCGCUACAGCAGCGCACCCCGUCGACAAUGACAGCGACCCCACCGCCGUCGUCGUCGGCGGCUUCAACGUCGAUCUUCGCGCCUGUCAUGAACGCCGAGCGCGUGUUGCGUGCGCGUCCGCCGGCGAUUUGGCAUGUUGCCUACGCGCCCACACACCCGCACACAGCGGCAGCGGCGAGCUGUGAGAAAGCGCAGCCGCUGCAGCAACGCGUCGCCGAGCUGUGGAUUCCAUUGACGCUACCGCCGCCGCCGCCGCCACCACCCUCCAUCAGCGGAUCUUCAACGGCAGUGGGCGGCAUUCCGGCCACGUCGAGUGCGGAAGAGUCUCAGGCCACGCAGGUGUUGCGGCUCGCAGAGGCGGGCGUGUCAUGCGAGCGCGGUGCCGCCGACAGCGCAGCGGUGCCCCUUCCUUUCGAGGUCCACCUCAUUGGCGACGCCGGCGACAACGUUCAACAAGCGCGGGUGGCCUGCGUGCUGCGCAACGUGCGGGUCUCCGCCACCGCGGCUCGAAAGCUCGGCAGUACCUCGACGACGCAACGGCCAUCGCUUCGCUUUUCGCUGCAGUCAUCGACGGCACCGUCCCCGACGGGCGAAAUCCACACGUGCCGCCUGCCCCGUGGCCUCACGCUGCACUGCAGCAACAUGUACCUUUACGGCCACCUCCAUGUCUUUGGCAACCUCGUGCUCGACAACUGCGUCUUCGUCGGCUCCCUGACCACGGAGGAGCUGGCGAGUGUGCAGGUGUCGCGCUCUCACCUGGCGCUGAUGCCGGAUGAUCGACUGCUGCUGCGGCAACCGCCGUACCGCAGGGGGUCGUCCGACCGUUGUCGUGGUGCUGGACGUGGCGCGCCACGUCAGCGCUCCUCCUCCACAGCCUCUCCAGGCGCCGACGAUGCGGCGAGGCCGCCGCCGCCGCCACCGCCUCCGGCCCUCUUCUACGCGCAACGCAAGGAGUGCGUGCUCGUACUGGACUCCUCUCGGGUUGAGAUGUCGGAAGACACGCACGUCUACCGGCUGAUGCCCAACUUGCACGCGGCAGCAGCUGCGGCGGCGACGCGUGGGUGGCGACGCAGCACUCAAGAGGCGAAGACUGAGAAGCGCAGUGGCGAGCCCAGCACUGCGAGCUGUGACCGCGACGAGGAUGAGGGCAGCGAUGAAGUCGCUAGCGUCAGCGGCAACGGAGAGGACAGUGGCGAUGAAGGAAAAGCGGCGGCGGCAGCAGCAGCCGUCGCACCGUCUCUUGCAGCCAUGAUGGCAGUCCUGCGCUCGCUGAUACUCGUCUCAAAUCAAGCCCGCCUGCGGCUUGUCCGCUGCGCCAUCCACCCCGGCCGCAAUACGGAGCGCACCAUCUUUGCCGAGCAGAACGCCAUUGUCGACAUGGCGUACUGCACCGUCACAGCCGCCAUCUCCAGCGCCGUCAGCGUGCAAGGGUGCCGUGCUUACUUGGAGCACUGCUUCUUCGAAGGCAGUCCAACGACCACCGCUGCGGCAACGAGUGCCGUGCUGUCCGCGGAAGCAGCAGCAGCAGCACAAGAGGCUGCGGCUGACGACGUGGACACCGAAAGUAGCCAUGACACCGCCAGCGGCCGCAGUGGAAUACAGCAGCAGCAGCAGCAGCAGCAGCAGCCACCACCUCCGAUACACGUCAACGACACGACGCGCUGCACCGGCCUUAACGUCGAGCUCGGCGGCACCCUCACCGCCCGCUACUGCGCGGCGCGGCAUCUCUACUUUGCCUUCUGUGUGAUCGCGCACUCGGUGGCCCACUUCUACCGCUGCCACGCCGAGGAUGUCGUGAACGGCUUCACCGUCGACGCCUCCGCGGCCACGCUGGACGGCUGCUCGGCGGACACGAACCACGUUGGCGCCUUCGUGCUGCGCAAGGCCAAGUGCAUACUCACCGACGACAGCUGUGGCAGCUUCCCACGGCGGUGCAGCCUGCUCGGCGAGGCGCACGAGACGGCACGCCGCGCUGUGACGGAGGCGUUGCGGCAGAAGCACCAAGAGACGAGAGGAGGCGGUGUGGUGCCACCGGCCAUCACAGAGACGGAGUCCUUGUGGACCUCUGCGGCAGCCAUUGCGGAGCGCACCGCUCGUGUCGCGCUUCUCGCACGGCGUCACUACGCAGAGCAGCUCCCUCGCUCCGACACGCUGAGCGACGCUGCGCCAGUGACCACCACGGCGAGCCACGCACCGCACCGUCGCUCGCAGACUGCGAUCGGGAUGUCAUCGCCGCAGCAGACGCUCGGCUUCUUCGGUGGUCGAUUCAGCCUCGAAGUGCGCGACGCCGCGCUCAAGGCAACCGGAGUGAUGCUGAUGAACGCGCACGACACCUCCGUCUACGCCUACGAGAACAGUGCCGUGGAGCUGGAGGAAUGCGUCUUGUGGUCAACGGCAGAGGCCGAAGAGGCCGCCAGUGCGGCGGCCGCGACAGUGGCAGCCGCCCUCGGGUCCGCGGAGUCGCCAGCCGCGGCUGCCUCGACUGCUGCGCUGAAGCUGACGGGUCGCCGCGCGUUGACCGGCGUGGACGGCACCUCUGACGGUCAGCUGCGGUCGGGGUCGCCGCGGCAGCGCUCCUGUGGUGUCAAGGUCGUGCACGCCAGCCUCAAGGCUCGGCGGUGCCUCAUGGCGGGCUACGGCUUCGGCUUUGCGGCCAUCCAGUCGGCGCAGGCAGAGCUGCAGGAGUGCCUGGUGGUGAACGCCAUCAACGGCUACACGAUCGACCACUCGCAGUGCCGACUACGACACUGCGGCGCGGACACGUCCCACGUGGGCCUCUUCGCCCUGAACGGCUCUCGCGUGGAGGCCGACAGCACGCCGCACGUGGUCGGCGUCAGCUCCUGCGGACGCACACCGCCGCCGCUCAUCUGCGGCGGCGUCCCGGCAGUCUUCUGUGGCGACGUCUACGGCGUGGAAAUCCAGUCAAGCGAGGCAGAGUGCACCGGCAUCACCGUGCUGCGCGGCCGCGACAGCGGCUUCAACGCGUACAACGGCAGCACCCUGCGGCUGAACAAGUGCCUCGUGGACAUGUCCCCCACUGAUGCGGCAAGCUAUGUGUUCCAUCGGCCCGGCAACGGCGGUGCGGCCGGGGCAGCAGCCGCGGUAAGAGAAACGAAUGAGGGAAGGCGCGGCAGCUCGACGAACAAGGGCGAUGCGGCGGGUAUGGCUGGCCUAUGGACUCGCCACCUCCACCUCGACGUCGGCCUCGCAGAGGAGCUGGUGCUGUGCACCAGCGACAGCGACGCUGGCCAUGCGCACAGCCGCAAUCGACUUCCCGCAUCCGCGUUGCUCCUCGCGGAACAGCAAGGCGACACAGUGCCCCACCGGGACGAAGGCGGCGAGGACGGAAGGGGCGAGGCCACACGCGCCGCUGCUCCGGCGGCUACGACAACCCCGACAACCGCCACCCCGCCAUCGGCGCCGUCGUCCGCGGGUCGCGUUGCACCAGCCGUGCGCACCUCAGGAGUGAAGGUGUGGUCUGGCAGCCAGUGCCACGCGCAGGACACCGAAGUGCGCUGCGUCACGUUCGGCUUUGCCUCCCUCGGCCCGGAGACACUGCUGGAUGCACACCACUGCACGGCCAAGCACGUCGUCAACGGCUUCACCUCCGACGGCGGCGCGCUGCAGCUGACCAAGUGCAGCGCCGGCAGCAACCACGUCGGUGUGUAUGUUCUAUCCCACGCGCACUGCGUCGUGCGGCGCGGCAGCUACAUGGCGAAGAAGUACGGAAUAGAGUGCCGCAGCGGUGUGCUGUCGCUGCAGGGCCACGUGAAGAUCUACGGCUUCUCGCGCAUCGGCAUGUACCUGUACGACGGGGCGCACUGCGAGGCCGACCCGGACUGCGUGCUAGAUAUUCACGCGCUGAAGCACGCCGCGCCGGGGUCGUCGGCGGAUGUCACUGCUGCUGCCAUGCCAGCGCCAGGCAGUAGCAUCCGCUCAGCAACCUUCCUUCAGCUGUCGAAGACGCAACAGCAGCAGCCGCCGAUGUCCACGGCGUCGACUACGUCACUGUGCAGCCCCGAAGAUGCGGCGAACGUAUCGGACCUGCUACCUGCCUGCAUCGCCCUCGACGAGGCAACGGCGCACCUGCCGCAGGCGGUGCUCGGUGGUGGCGCUCGCUGCGGCGUCACCUGCGGCGACGGUGCGACGGGCUUCAUUGGCAAGUGUAUCGUGUAUGACUGCAGCCUGGUCGGCGUGAACGUCUUCUACGGCGCACAUCUGACGCUCGCCAACGCGCUUCUCCGCUGCGCGCAGCAGUACGCAGUGGUCGUGCACGUGGGAGGCGUGUGCCGUAUCAUCCAAAACGCCGAAGGUGACGAGACGGGCGACGAUGACGACAGCCUUGCUGUGGACAGCUCCGACGAAGGGGUGGAUCGCGGAGCAAGAGGCAGUGGCGGGCUGGGGAACAUUCUGCGGAGACAUGGCCCCGGCGCCGCGGUGUCCGCGGCGGUACGGCGCUUGCGGCGUCUGGCUUCGUACAUCGUAGCAGUGCCGUGGCGCGUGACCCACCAGUGGGCAGGGCGACGUGACCCGAACGACGGAGCAGCAGCAGCAGCAGCAGCCGAGUCCGUUGCGGAAGACAGCAGCGGCUGUGAUGCAGUGCUUAGCGGUGCGAGAGCGCGAUCGCUCGGGACAGGAUCGAUGCCCGGCGCCACCACUGUCGCCGGAGGAACAGCGAUGUCCCCGGCCACAGCUGCUGGCGUCUCACCAACACCGCGGCACCCCCCAUCGCGCGUCGCUGAUAAAGCGCAGCGCCUCUCGUCUGAUGCCUCGUCGCGCUGGCGCGGCGAGACGAGGUCAGCGGUCUCGCCCAGCUCCGCCACGGCAGCCACAGCGUCGCCGGUCGCCAUCGGCGGCGGUGGCGCUGCGCCUCUGGUGGGAGACGACGAUGACGAGGUCGGCGGCCGCCGCAUCGUGCCGCUGACAAGUGCCCUUCGGCGCCGCUUGAAGUGGCUUUACUGGGAGACAUGCCUCGGUGCUCCGUUGCCCUUCCGACUGAACACGUUGACGAUGCCCGUUGCCACGGUGGGCGCGAACGGGGCCGGGCCGGAGCCUGGCAGCACGGCGGCCGGCGUAGCGGAACGUCGGUCCUUUUCACUGUCGCCUUCCGCCAGUGGCGCUGCCGCGCCUACGUCAGGCGCACUAGCCAUCACCUCUGUCUUUCCGCCCGUCCGCCCGACCAUCUGCGGCAGCUGCGUGGUGCGCGGAACGUGCACGAUGGAGCGCGUCGUGCUGCGGCCCACGAAUCAUCUCCCGCGGCUCUUCGCCGAGUGCAGCCGCGCCGACCGUGCGCGAAAUAGCGGGAAGGAGCACGACGACGACGCGACGACGGCGACAGCGACGGACGACGAGGACGGGGCGAUGGACACGGAGAGGAACAGCGCUGGCAACGUGACCGCGACGAGAGCGCGAUGCAGCCCAUGGACGGGGCAGGAGGUAUGCAACUCGCCAGCGCAGCACCGUCACACAGACAGCAGCAACUCAUCUGACGGCACGACCUCGACUGGGGAACACGGCGGCGACAGUGCGUAUGCCUCCCCGCUCCUCGCCACCGCCGCCGCCAUCAAGGCAUCCUUGGCGGCCGGUCGCGCCGUCGCCGCUGCUUCUGCCAGAGCCGCAGACGGCUGGGCAGCUCUCCCCUCGGUGUGCGUCCUGCACCACCUGGUGCGUCAGCCGCCUGGUGUACACGUUUGCCAGCAAGGUGUGCUGAACCUCACGGACUGCAUCGUGGACGCCUCGCUCUCCCCACAACCGUGCCUCGGCGCUCGACGCACCGGGCAGCUCGUCUCAGCGGUCGUGGCGUGUGAGGGGCCGUACGCGAAGCUUCACUGCGAUUACGUGCGUGUCGUGCGCGGCGAGGGCGGCGACGAGGAUGACCGCACCGCCUUCGAAGGAGGCGAUGGCGGUGCCUCCGGCGCCGCUCGCCCAGCAACAUCCCCAGCCCCGACCCGCUCCUCGGCCCUCCCUGCGCUCUCCCCCGACGCAGCACCUCCUCUCUUAGCCGCCGCGCCGUCGCCGCGGCGUCGUGGUGCCUCCGUGGCAGCGGCCGCUGCUGAUGUUGCCACUGUUCCGCUGCUGCUUGUCUCGCUCGUGGACGGGGCACAGUGCACGCUGCACAUGGUGGGCGCAUCACUGGAUGAUUGGCCUUACUGCGCCUACAGUGCCGAAUCGAUCAACCACGACGGCAACGUCUGCAGCGACCCCAUGAUGGGAGCGGAGAAGGAAGAUGCUGGCAACCCACUGGGCUUCGCUGGCCGCGGUGAGGCGGCAGCGGCGCAGCUAUCACCUGCUCGUCUCAUCUUGGCACGCAACGCUGGUGUGAUGCUGCGCACCACUGGCGACACGCUCGCCGAGGUCACGUACGCAAGCAUUGCCAGCAUCGUCGCGUCGCAGCGAUCGCAGGUGCGGCUGGCGCACUGCACCGUGACGGGGAUGGUGCCCAUCAUACUCGGCAGUGGCAGCUCUUCUUCCCUGACGUGCUGCCGUGUUGUCGGCGGCGCGCGGGCCGGCCCCGCUGCAGCCGCGAUUCGAGUCGAGCACGAGGGCGACUUGACCCUCAUCCGCUCAUCGGUGUGGACGCUGUCUCAGGGGCUGGCGGUGGAGUGCGUGGGCUCUGGGUGCGUGCAUGCGGUCGAGAGCGAGGAACUGACGCUGGGCAGGGCGGCGGGAUCAGCGGAUGGGCACGGCGACGGUGAAGGGGCAGUCGACGGUGCCGUCGGACAACCAUGAGAAUCACGGCAGUGAACGUGACCCUGUGUACGUGUCGCCGUCGUCUGCGCCACUCUAGCCCCGCGCGGUACCGUCGCCUACGCGCACUCGUGUCUGAUGUAAUUCUUCUUUUCUCCUGCUCUACGUGUGCUGAGCUUCAGCGCGGCUGUGCGGGUGUGCCACCGCCGCUUGUUCCCCCUUCCUCUCUCCUUCCCCCGGUCUACACUGAGCUGGCAUGCGUGUGCGCAAAUAUCUCUGUGAAUAGUGGGGUGGUGGUGGUGGUGG
rnacentral:misc_RNA from 1 species